ACCGAACGAGAGCUUGCUCUUGUUCGGUCAGCGGCGGACGGGUGAGUAACACGUGGGCAACCUGCCCGCAAGACCGGGAUAACUCCGGGAAACCGGAGCUAAUACCGGAUAACACCAAAGACCGCAUGGUCUUUGGUUGAAAGGCGGCUUCGGCUGUCACUUGCGGAUGGGCCCGCGGCGCAUUAGCUAGUUGGUGAGGUAACGGCUCACCAAGGCGACGAUGCGUAGCCGGCCUGAGAGGGUGACCGGCCACACUGGGACUGAGACACGGCCCAGACUCCUACGGGAGGCAGCAGUAGGGAAUCUUCCGCAAUGGACGAAAGUCUGACGGAGCGACGCCGCGUGAGCGAAGAAGGCCUUCGGGUCGUAAAGCUCUGUUGUGAGGGACGAAGGAGCGCCGUUUGAAUAAGGCGGCGCGGUGACGGUACCUCACGAGAAAGCCCCGGCUAACUACGUGCCAGCAGCCGCGGUAAUACGUAGGGGGCGAGCGUUGUCCGGAAUUAUUGGGCGUAAAGCGCGCGCAGGCGGUCCUUUAAGUCUGAUGUGAAAGCCCACGGCUCAACCGUGGAGGGUCAUUGGAAACUGGGGGACUUGAGUGCAGGAGAGGAGAGC
rnacentral:rRNA from 1 species